rnacentral:rRNA from 1 species
UACAGGGGGUGCAAACGUUGCUCGGAAUCAUUGGGCGUAAGGCGCACGUAGGCGGUUUGUUAUGUCGGAUGUGAAAGCCCUUGGCUCAACUGAGGAAGUGCAUCCGAAACUGGCAAGCUAGAGUACUAAAGAGGGUCGCGGAAUUCCCGGUGUAGAGGUGAAAUUCGUAGAUAUCGGGAGGAACACCGGUGGCGAAGGCGGCGACCUGGGUAGAUACUGACGCUGAGGUGCGAAAGCGUGGGGAGCAAACAGG